rnacentral:rRNA from 1 species
GAUGAACGCUGGCGGCGUGCCUAAUACAUGCAAGUCGAGCGCACGGACGAGAAGCUUGCUUCUCUGAUGUUAGCGGCGGACGGGUGAGUAACACGUGGAUAACCUACCUAUAAGACUGGGAUAACUUCGGGAAACCGGAGCUAAUACCGGAUAAUAUUUUGAACCGCAUUGUUCAAAAGUGAAAGACGACUUUUCUGCUACUAGAUGAAGCUGCGGCGUUGUAUCUGCUAGUUGGGAUGGCAACGGAUUACGAAGGCAACGAAGCAUAGCCGACUGGAGGGGGUGAUCGCCCACACUGGAACGGAGACACGGUCCAGACUCCUCCGGGAGGCAGCAGUAGGGAAUCUUGCGCAAUGGGCGAAAGCCUGACGGAGCAACGCCGCGUGAGUGAUGAAGGUCUUCGGAUCGUAAACCUCUGUUAUUAGGGAGGACCAUUGGUGUAAGUAAAUGUGCACAUCUUGACGGUACCUAACCAGAAAGCCACGGCUAACUACGUG